rnacentral:lncRNA from 1 species
GUACGCUUGCAGUGAGAUCAACCAGAACCCAUGGUUUCUUUCUUUGACAGGUUAAAAGAAGACUUAGAAAAGACAAAGAAAGACAUAACAGCCUGAGCCUUGGACAAUGGUGAGACACACAACUGUGAGAAUGUGGCCUCAAAAGAAAGUAAAGUGUGAGCUCAGAUUGGGUCCAACCCUCAUGGAAAGGCAAGUAACCUUAUUAAUGAAAAGUUGUUUUGAAGAAAUAUGUGGGUUUUUUCAUCAUUUUCUGUUUGCCAUAGAAAUAUCUUGAAGAUAAAAUUUUGGCUUCCUGCUCAGGCCAAAAAAUAGUAAUGCUACUCAGGCAAAACUCCCAAAAGAUGUGUCCAAUAAAGAUCUAUUAUUUUCUUGAAUUGCUUUUCACAGACUUAACAGAGAUUUAGAUGACCUAAAGUACGUGAGCAUUAUAGUUCUGCUUGCUUCUCUGUACUGUUCAAAACCAUUCUUCUAAUAGUUGUCAUAAAUUACUUAUACUUGUUUAGUGCCCAAAGGACUGCCUAGCAGCAAGAGUCCUUUCAGAAUUAGGGCCAUUCCAGUUAUUUCUCCUUUUCACUCACCUUGUGACCAGCACAUGGGAUGUAAGGAAAUACAGGAUUUGUUAUCCGUGCCCUUGAACACCUGAGAGCUCCUUUACAAAGGUGAGCCAUCUGUUUACUACAGAAAAUAAUUUUUAAUGAUUGUUUUUCAACACCAGAGUACCAAAAAGCAACUUUUUAAAAGGUCAAAGUGGUUGUCUAUGUUUCACUGCCAUGGGAAAUCCAUCAGGCAAUAAUUUAACCUGUCUGCCUCUACACAUACAUAUAAAGUCCCAUAUUGUAUUACAAAUCUGUCAUCCACUUUGUAUUUCCCCAAACAGUCUUUUUGACUCAUAAACUGUGUUUUCUUUAAAACUGCGGCCUGUGUAAUUCUCUGUGGAGUCAUAGGAGAGGGAAAGGAUUGCAGUGAAUUGUUUCCAGAGUGCCUAUGAAUAUAGGGAUGCUUAAGAAAGGGAGAGUUAAUUUAUUUAACAUUGAGAUCUAAAACAUGUAUGCUGAAAUUGGAUGGAUGUCCUUGUGGAGGGUCUCUUUCUGGAAUUAAGGUAAUCGUAAUGUGUGCCACCAAGGUCCUAAAAAUACUCCCUUCAUGAGGUGUAGGAAAUAACAUUAGUUGAUGUAUUUAUCUUCCCACUUCUUUUGCUGAAUCACUCUGACUUUCCUGAAUAAGCCCAGAUGCAUACAGCUAAUCCAAUCAGUGGGUCACUACUCCAGUUCUGUGCCGGUUCUGUGGUGUUUAAUUGAGGCUUAAUUUCCUCAUAUGGAC